rnacentral:lncRNA from 1 species
CAAAGUUUCUUUCAAUACUGGUUUAAUAGAGUCUUCAUCCUUUGGUGCUGGCUUACUCAUGAAUAAUGAAUGUUUUACUUUUUAUUUAGAUAAUGUGGUGCAGACACAACAUUGUUCAUCCUGCUGUUGGUGCAGAUUGCAAGAUGCUACACAUACUAUACAAAGUUAAAUAAUAAUCCGAAUUCCCAAGGCCUUUUGGCAUCUGCAAGAAUGAAUGGGAAAGCUAAUGGAAGGAGAGCUUUUUAGAUACGUCUGCUUCCAAUCUUUAGGGUUAGCAGCAGAUUUGCUAUCACAUUUGCAUGACUGGUGUCUCUGAACAGCCUGAGGCAGAUAUUAAGGAAAGAUCAGCAGUUACAGUGAAUGUCCAGGGCUGCACUAAUUACAAGGCUUGCUGUCAGAAUUUGAUGACUGUCAGUACCUGUCAGAACUUCUGCUUCCUGAAAGAGAUUUGUUUUUUUUCUAAUGCUGGGAUUUCAUCAAGAACCAGAAGACAGACAUCUAAGUAAGUAUAUUUAAAAUAUCU